GAAGGAUGAGAAGCUUCGACUAAGGUUCGAUUCGAGCGCAGCGAGAAAGCGUUGCCGUAGGCAACGACCCGAAGGGCGAAGCGCGCAGCGCUGAGUAAUCCUUCCCCCACCACCA
rnacentral:sRNA from 1 species